CAACGUGUCGCGAUGAGAU
rnacentral:rRNA from 1 species